UGUAAGGAACACAGGAAGGAAUUGAAAAAGACUGACCAGGACUCCAGGACCCUCAAUCCUGUUUGACUUGGGUGGUUCUAGCUUGCGCUGUUAACAGACACCCUUUUCAUUCAGGUGAUAAAGUAACCAUGGCAGAUACCAAAAUUCCCAAGAAUUGCACACAACACCAGACCUUCUUUAUCGCAGAUAUAGCGACCAGAGCAGAUAAAGAAAAGAAAAGAGAAAAAGAGAGACGAUCAUGGCAGAACAACCAUGGCGGAAACCAAAAUCUCUACCAAUUUCCGAGAAAGAACCAAGGAAAUGGCGAAAUUGAUCAAAGCCUAUCAUCAUCAUCUAUGGAAAACUGACCCCUCCGGAAGAACCCCGAGAAAUAUUAGAACGCAGGAACAACUGAUCCGUACAAUCACGCCUGCCUUCGCCAACACCAACAUUCUCAAAGCAGGGAAUGCCCUGAAUUGGUCCCACACAUCGAUGCAGAUAUUAUACGAACACUAUGAAACAACAAUAGCAGAUAGUGUAACCAAACUUUCAAAAGCCCCCAAAGAAGAUUGGGAAAACUCCUUAAAAUGGCUAUUAAGUGGGCUCAAAAAAACGCAUAACUCAGAUCACCAUUAAAAGAAGCCUCGGCUCACAUUCUCGACGUCCUACACCCUACUCAACCCACCGCCUCGACAUCCAGCCAAACCGAACCAGAAAAAAUGCCCAUCCCGAAUAAACCGGCCCAAGCUGAACCAGACUCCCCAAAAUCGGCACGCCAUUUCUACUACUGGGCAACUCCAACAUGUCCAGAAUACCAUUUAUCAAUCACGCCCCGGUACAAGUCGAUUGCUUCCCAGGGGCCAAUCUCAGCCACCUACUCAAAAAUAACACACCCACGGAUGAAGGGUAAAAAACGUUAUCCUAUCUUUUGGGAUUAAUAACAAACAUAUCCAGCAGAGUCCACCUCAAAAAUGACCUACAGGCUAUGCUCACUAACUGACACAGAACAGGAGGCACUAUUAGAACUUACAAAAAAAAACACGAUCUGGUACUAAAACCAGCUGACAAGGGCAGCGCACUGGUUAUAAUGGAUAAAACAGACUACAUUAAAGAGGCACUACGCAAAUUGACGGACACCAAUUACUACAUCCCGCUAACUCAAUCUAUGAAAGAAAAUACUGCCACAGAGAUAGCACAGAUUCUCGAGACACUAGUGGCAAAACGACACCUAACCAAAGAACAGAGCAUUUAUCUGAAGGGGCAAACACCCCAUAGAUGCAGACUAUUUUAUAUGCUUCCAAAAAUUCACAAACCACAUGAAGCAUGGAAAAACAACAUACCACCAGGUAGACCAAAAGUCUCGGAUUGUAGCAGCGAAAGUUAUGGGGUUGCUGAAUACCUUGAUUCUUUUCUCACACCCCUUUCCAACAGACACCCGAGUUACUUAAAGGAUACUGCAGACUUCAUUGAUAAACUCUGCCAAAUAACUGAAAAAUGUAAACCAUUCACUAUGGAUGUAGAGAGCCUAUAUACCAACAUUGAGAUUCCAUUGGGCCUAUCCGCAGUCCAAAAAUGGUUCCAAAAAUACCCUGACCCAAAUAAACCAGAGGAAGAAAUACUUCAACUCCUUGAGAUCAAUCUGACUAAAAACAAUUUUAUUUUUGAUGAUAAAGUAUAUUUACAAACCAUAGCAAUGCAUAGGCAUAGCAAGGCAUAGCAAUGGGCAAGAAAUUUGCCCCGGCAUACGCCAACAUUUAUAUGGCGGAUUGGAAGGAUACUGUUUUCCCCAAACACAAAAAGAAACCGCUAAGAUAUUUCCGAUAUCUCAACGACAUCAUUGGCAUUUGGACGCACUCGGAGGAGGACUUCAAUGAGUUUGUUCAAACCCUCAAUGAACAUCAUGCCUCUAUCCAACUUGACCCUACUCUACACGACCUGGAAGUUCAUUUCUUGGAUGUAACAGUUUACAAAGGACCCAACUUUUUGAACACAGGGGAACUUGACACCAAAGUAUAUUUCAAGCCCACAGAUACACGCCCUAUUGCACAAAUGCAGCUUUCACCCAAAAAACAUCUUCAAGGGGAUUUACAAAUCUCAACUGAUCAGGUUUAAUAGAAUCUGCAGUAACCCCCAGGAUGAAUUCAAGACAGUUCAUACCCUUAACAAAACACAGACAAAGAGGAUAUCAGAGGUCCUUCCUCAGGGGUAUUCAAAAACAAGGAACUACGAAAGUACAACAAAAAAGUGUGUAAGGUCACACACUGACAAUCCACACUGUUCAACUCUGUUCAUAAUUCUGUUUGUGAUGGUCUUGCUAUUUUCCACAAUGAGGUGAGUCUAGUUGUAAUUAUGCUGUAUACAUGGUGAUGCUUGGAGAUGUGUAGGCCCACUUUAAUUCCCCCACACUGCCUUUUUUUUCCUCUUAGAGUCAUACUGACUGGGGCAUAUUAUAUGUUGUCCCGAUUUUGGAUGACACUCUUACCAUUUUUCAACACUAUUUAUAGUAUAAUUCGGACUUAACAUUUCAUUUUCAGACACAGAAUGCAUUUCUUUGCACUAUAGUGGUGUGUUGCCCACCAUGAAAGUGGUUGUUGUAUGGCUUCCCUGAUUAAAAAGUGCAGUUUGUGGCAUUUAUAAAAUGCUUGGGGUGAAACUUUCAAUACAUUUAUGUAACUGAUAAAGUGCUGAGUGCAAAGUUUACAAUAAUUCACAUGAUUUAUUCAUUUUUUACAUUUAAAACCUUUUGGUUGUAAAGUGCAAAGUGCAAUUAAUAAUGGUUUGAUUUUGAUGGGCCACAUAUCCUCCUCCUGUUUUUUUGUCCGAGUUAAAACCAAAUUCAUUAAGAUUAAAAAAAUGUUUUCAUGUUAAUCAUAGUGAUAAUUCAUUCCAUGUAUAUUCACAAUGUGUUCAAAAUGUUUGUUUACAAUUGUAUAUAGGCCUAUGUCUAUGGUGUGAAUACACAUAUAUACACAUUCACGGGAGCUUCCAAAUUCGCCCUUUCCAGCCCAAUUCAAUUCAUAGGAAAAAAAACAUACAAUUUUUCUAAAAAAACAGCGUCCUUGAACACAACAUCCACAAUCAUUGGAUUUCAUUGGUUUCCAUGCUAACGCUGGCCGUAAACAGGAAGCUCCUUAGGUGUGGAGUGCUACUCGCGCUUCUUCUCACUUCAGACACCUUUAUGGAAAAAUACAGUCAUUCCUUGUUGUCUUAACAGGCUGAUGAAGACUUACUCUGUUGAAACGCGUCGCUGUGCCUUUUUAUUUUUAAAAUAAAAGUUCUGACAACUGACCAUCACACCUGAGGACUUUUCAGUCAACUCCAACUACAGUUUGUAUAGUUAUUACUAUUAUUUUUUCCUUGCUACGCUGAGUGGGGAUUGCAACGACACACCAACAUGGAUGGCCGCUGCUUCUACCCUGAGGACGACUGGGACGAGGGACCUGAGUGGUGUACGUUGCGGUACCGCAGAGGCUGAAUGAUUAGCCGUGAUUACGGCGGCCCUCCCGCCCGUUACUUGCCCUCUCACGUCCAAUAUGAACCAGCUAACUACCGUAUUAGCAAUGAGCCUCCAUAUAGCACUACUGUCCAGACUAGCCGCUAUGCUAACGAACAAGCUAAUAGCUAUGGACACUCCGCUAGCAGGUCUGCUAACAGUACUAGCCACAGCUAUGCUUAUAACAACCAGGCUAGCUACUAUAAUCAUCCACCCAGCGUUAGCUACAGCCGACCUAGCUAUGCCGAAGCCGCUAGGCCCGCUAGCUUCAGCCCCCAAUGUCAGGUUUACUUUGACCACGAGCCUAUCGAACACCGCUCUAACCCUGACCACACCACCCGCGGAGCUAGUGGUGUUGGCGGCCAGCAAAACAACAAUAACUGCCACCAGGCCAGCAACAAUAGCCGUGCAACUCAAGGGCAAAGCGGCUCUCGUUCACGCUCUCGGCCUAAAGAGGGGCGCCCACAGCAACAGAAACGAGGGUCUGAUUGCAAAAAUAAGUGGGCUAAUAAGAACAAAAAUCAACAAAAAAAACCUCGAACAAAUCAAAGAAACCAAAAAAAAAAAAACAACACUAACAAAAAGCAGCAACAACCCCAACAGGCUGCACAGCGUUCACCAGACCCGGACUUUACUGUCA